rnacentral:lncRNA from 1 species
AUGGGUACUCUAGCCUGGAUUGCAUAUGUCAUUUAUAUGUUUUUUGACUUAUUGUUUGUCACGAUUCUGGAUUACAUUUAUUUUCUGCUUAGCAUCUAUGAAAGUUUGCAAUGGCUGAAUAUAAGUAUGUAUCGUUUGAUUUCAUUCAUUCCCACAUAUGCUGGAGCCUUAUUCGUAGUAACCAAAUUAUACUAUGCCCUAAAAAUAGGUGUGCAUCUAAUUUUUGGGAAAAAAGCAAAAGAUAAUGAAAUGGCUGUGACGAUUUUAACCAUAAAAGAGAUGAUGCAACUAAAGGAAAUGGUUAAGCAACUGAGUGAAGAGAUACAAUGUGGCAAAGGUAUUAACACACAACAAGACAUACCUAAAAAUAACAAUGUGGUUCAGCAAGAAAAUACAGAAGGGGCUGAAGGUGGAAUACCAAUAUUGCCACUAAGAGAUCAAACAAGCCUACAACCAGAUAGCGGCAUAAUUCAUAUUAAAACACAUAAACCAUUUACAACAGCUGACCUUGAAAGUCUGAAAAGAUGGAUGCCUUCCUGGUUUUCAGAACCGAUGAGAUGUUUAAAAGAAUUUAAAAGAGCAAUUAGGCUUUAUGAUCCAGAUUUCCAGGACACUAAAAUUCUUCUCUCAGAAUUAUUUUCAAAAAGGGAAAAACAACAAUUCAUUGAUGAAACAAGAAACUAUCCAAAUUUAACAUCAUGGCCAGAGGAAGGAACAGACUUAGAGUUAUCUAGUAAUGAAAAUCUACGUUACCUAAGAAAGGCCAGAGAAGAUUUAUUAGAGGCAAUGAAAAGUUUUUCAAAAAGACCAGAUACUUGGGGAAAAUUUGAGAGAUUGAGACGGGAAAGUGGGGAACAUCCAUCAAAGUUCCUCGAUAGAGUGAUUGAAGUAGCAGAGGAUGUGCUUGGAUUUGAAAAUUUAACUGAACAAAAUCUCCAACACAUAAGGAGACAAUUUGUGAAAGGCAGUAACACACCUAUUAGAUCAUAUUUUAAACUUCAAUUCCCAGAUUGGGAAACACUAAGUCUGGAAGAUUUAAGAAAAACGGCAACUUACAUAUUUUCAGGUCAUAAAGAAAUGCCAGAAGAAAAGGAUGAAAUAAUAAAAGACCUUAAAGCCAAGCUCCAGGAGGCAAAUAGCUCAAGUAAAUAUAAAGAAAUUGAAGAAAUAAAAAAUCUAGCCACUCUGCAAUCAUACAAACCCACAAGAAAUUACACAGAAAGCACUCAAAGGAGAAAUUUACCCAGAUGUUUCCUCUGUGGAAUAAUAGGUCACAUUGUUCAAGACUGUUAUUUAAAGGCACAAUUAUUCCAACCUAAUAACAAACAGAGGUUUUGGAAAAGCAAUGUAAAGUAUAGCAGCAAUAAUACACAAACAAAUGCAAAAUGUUGUGAUUAUAAUUGCAAGAAUUCAUUGCAAGCACCAAAUUUAGAAACCAUGGAGAGGUACAUCCAACAAGGAGCGAAGCCACAUUAUUCUCAAGUACUCUCAGGUGCUGCCAAACAAAGUCAGUUAUGA